UAUAGAGGGAAGAAAGAGUUAGGUUACAGCCUUUAAAAACCCUAACUUUACCUUUCGUACUGCAACUUCUCUUCUCUUCACUGGAAACGCAUCCUGUUGGUUCAACCAACUCUUCAGAGUUGUAGGAAGGAGUUAUGUCUCUUAUAUCGUAACGUCAAGGAAUUCUCUCCAAACAAUUUGGGAAUGCAUCGCAGCUCCUAGAGUUUUGAGAGUUUUUGAAAAGGAAACUCCACAAGAUAUCUAUUCAAGAAUAGAUAUAUUCAAGAUGAAAAUUCAAGAUAUGCAAAAAGGAGUGAAAGAAACAAAACUUGAGAUUGUUACAGCUAAGGGAAAACAAUAUGUUGUGUUCUUUCAAGUUCGCAAGACUUUUAAGUGAAUCAUGUUGAUUGUUCUUAAGAGAUUCUUUCGAUGAUAGAGUAUUGAUAUUGUAUUUAAGAGA